rnacentral:rRNA from 1 species
GACGAACGCUGGCGGCGUGCUUAACACAUGCAAGUCGAACGGAAAGGCCCUGCUUUUGUGGGGUGCUCGAGUGGCGAACGGGUGAGUAACACGUGAGUAACCUGCCCUUGACUUUGGGAUAACUUCAGGAAACUGGGGCUAAUACCGGAUAGGAGCUCCUGCUGCAUGGUGGGGGUUGGAAAGUUUCGGCGGUUGGGGCUGGACUCGCGGCUUAUCAGCUUGUUGGUGGGGUAGUGGCUUACCAAGGCUUUGACGGGUAGCCGGCCUGAGAGGGUGACCGGCAACAAUGGGACUGAGAUACGGCCCAGACUCCUACGGGAGGCAGCAGUGGGGAAUAUUGCACAAUAGGCGGAAGCCUGAUGCAGCAGCGCCGGGUGCGGGAUGACGGCCUUCGGGUUGUAAACCGCUUUCGCCUGUGACGAGGCGUGAGUGACGGUAAUGGGUAAAGAAGCACCGGCUAACUACGUG